AAAUGACAUAAUAUUGUUCUCCUUUUCCUCUGAGGCUUCUCAGCUUCCCAGGAGAAGAAUCCUGGGCAAAAGUUUUUUGAAGUCCAAAUUGUGCCAGGCUGUUUUGUACCUGCACAGAUCAUACAGAGACUUUGCUUCUUUUUCAAGCCUCCUGUGGAGAUUGCUGAAAAAUGAAGACUGACUCUCAAUACUUUCAGAAAACAGGAUUUAAUACAGUGGUGCAACUUUAAAGAGAACAUACGAAGAGCAGGAUAAAUCACGCUGACUCUCUCCCCCCAGCAAAC